rnacentral:rRNA from 1 species
GACGAACGCUGGCGGCGUGCCUAACACAUGCAAGUCGAACGGAGUCUUGCGUCAACACAGAGUGCUUUUAAAGAGCACUGUGUGUUGAUGUAAGACUUAGUGGCGGACGGGUGAGUAACACGUGAGCAACCUGCCCAUGGGAGGGGGAUAACAUACCGAAAGGUAUGCUAAUACCGCAUAACGUAUGUUUGCCGCAUGACAGACAUACCAAAGAUUUAUCGCCCAUGGAUGGGCUCGCGGCCGAUUAGGUAGUUGGUGAGGUAACGGCUCACCAAGCCGACGAUCGGUAGCCGGACUGAGAGGUUGAACGGCCACAUUGGGACUGAGACACGGCCCAGACUCCUACGGGAGGCAGCAGUGGGGAAUAUUGCGCAAUGGGGGAAACCCUGACGCAGCGACGCCGCGUGAAGGAUGAAGGUCUUCGGAUCGUAAACUUUUGUCAUCGGGGACGAGUAAGGACGGUACCCGAGGAGGAAGCCACGGCUAACUACGUG